UGUAGCAAUACAUGGCGUACUGCUCAGUAACACGUGGACAACCUGCCCUUAGGACGGGUAUAAACCCGGGAAACUGGGUAUAAUUCCCGAUAGGUCUCGUCUGCUGGAAUGCAUCGAGAUCCAAAGCUCCGGCGCCUAAGGAUGGGUCUGCGGCCUAUCAGGUAGUAGUGGGUGUAGCGUACCUACUAGCCUACAACGGGUACGGGUUGUGAGAGCAAGAGCCCGGAGAUGGAUUCUGAGACACUAAUCCAGGCCCUACGGGGUGCAGCAGGCGCGAAAACUUUACAAUGCUGGGAACAGCGAUAAGGGAACCUCGAGUGCCAGGUUACAAAUCUGGCUGUCGUGAUGCCUAAAAAGCAUUAUAUAGCAAGGGCCGGGCAAGACCGGUGCCAGCCGCCGCGGUAACACCGGCGGCUCGAGUGGUAACCGUUAUUAUUGGGUCUAAAGGGUCUGUAGCCGGCCGGAUAAGUCUCUUGGGAAAUCUGGCAGCUUAACUGUCAGGCUUUCAGGGGAUACUGUCUGGCUCGAGGCCGGGAGAGGUGAGAGGUACUUCAGGGGUAGGGGUGAAAUCUUGUAAUCCUUGAAGGACCACCAGUGGCGA
rnacentral:rRNA from 1 species